rnacentral:lncRNA from 1 species
AUGUACCUGUGUAUCUGUAUCUAUACAUUAAUUUUAUAUACGAAUUUGUCCUCAUAUGUUCGCAGGUCUUUGCAAAUCCUUUAUACAUAUAGAUCCAUGUACCUGUGUAUCUGUAUCUAUACAUUAAUUUUAUAUACGAAUUUGCCCUCAUAUGUUCGCAGGUCUUUGCAAAUCCUUUAUACAUAUAGAUCCAUGUACCUGUGUAUCUGUAUCUAUACAUUAAUUUUAUAUACGAAUUUGCCCUCAUAUGUUUGCAGGUCUUUGCAAAUCCUUUAUACAUAUAGAUCCAUGUACCUGUGUAUCUGUAGCCAUACAUACAUAUUAUUUUUAUAUAUGAAUUUGUCCUCAUAUGUUUGCAGGUCUUUGCAAAUCCUUUAUACAUAUAGAUCCAUGUACCUGUGUAUCUGUAUCUAUACAUUAAUUUUAUAUACGAAUUUGCCCUCAUAUGUUUGCAGGUCUUUGCAAAUCCUUUAUACAUAUAGAUCCAUGUACCUGUGUAUCUGUAUCUAUACAUUAAUUUUAUAUACGAAUUUGCCCUCAUAUGUUUGCAGGUCUUUGCAAAUCCUUUAUACAUAUAGAUCCAUGUACCUGUGUAUCUGUAUCUAUACAUUAAUUUUAUAUACGAAUUUGCCCUCAUAUGUUUGCAGGUCUUUGCAAAUCCUUUAUACAUAUAGAUCCAUGUACCUGUGUAUCUGUAGCCAUACAUAUACAUUAAUUUUAUAUACGAAUUUGCCCUCAUAUGUUUGCAGGUCUUUGCAAAUCCUUUAUACAUAUAGAUCCAUGUACCUGUGUAUCUGUAGCCAUACAUAUACAUUAAUUUUAUAUACGAAUUUGCCCUCAUAUGUUUGCAGGUCUUUGCAAAUCCUUUAUACAUAUAGAUCCAUGUACCUGUGUAUCUGUAGCCAUACAUAUACAUUAAUUUUAUAUACGAAUUUGCCCUCAUAUGUUUGCAGGUCUUUGCAAAUCCUUUAUACAUAUAGAUCCAUGUACCUGUGUAUCUGUAGCCAUACAUACACAUUAUUUUUACAUAUGAAUUUACCCUCAUAUGUUUGCAAGUCUCUGCAAAUUUUAUAUAGAUAUAAUUAUCUAUAUAAAGAGAGAUGUCUGGAUAGAUAUGAAUAUAUUCUUACCUACCUAUAUAUAGGGCUUGCAAAUAUUACAGGGGGGAAAUGA